UCGGCUAACUACGUGCCAGCAGCCGCGGUAAUACGUAGGAUGCAAGCGUUGUCCGGAAUUAUUGGGCGUAAAGGGCGUCUAGGUGGAUUAACAAGUCCUGUGUGAAAUCUCUUGGCUUAACCAAGAAAGGUCACAGGAAACUAUUAAUCUAGAGGUCAUGAGAGGUAAGUGGAAUUCACAGAGUAGUGGUGAAAUGCGUAGAUACUGUGAGGAACACCAGAGGCGAAAGCGACUUACUAGCAUGAAUCUGACACUAAAGCGCGAAAGUGUGGGUAGCAAACCGGAUUAGAUACCCGGGUAGUCCACACCAUAAACGAUGGAUACUAGUUAUGGGAGGCUUAGACCCCUCUGUAACGAAGCUAACGCAUUAAGUAUCCCGCCUGGGGAGUACGGCCGCAAGGUUAAAACUCAAAGAAAUUGACGGGUGCCCGCACAAGCAGCGGAGCGUGUGGUUUAAUUCGAUGAUAAGCGAAGAACCUUACCAAGGCUUGAAAUAUAUCUGACAGCUAGUGAAAGCUAGUCUCCUUCGGGCAGAUAUACAGAUGUUGCAUGGCUGUCGUCAGCUCGUGCCGUGAGGUGUUGGGUUAAGUCCCGCAACGAGCGCAACCCUCGUCGUUAGUUACUAUGUCUAGCGAGACUGCCUCUAAAAAAGAGGAGGAAGGUGGGGAUGACGUCAAGUCAGCAUGGCUCUUACGCCUUGGGCUACACACACGCUACAAUGGAUAGUACAAAGGGCUGCAAAGGAGCGAUCCGGAGCUAAUCCCAUAAAGCUAUCCCCAGUUGGAAUUACAGGCUGCAACUCGCCUGUAUGAACGCGGAGUUGCUAGUAAACGCAGGUCAGCACACUGCGU
rnacentral:rRNA from 1 species